ensembl:lncRNA
GGAUUACAGGACCUGUUGAGGAAGUCAGCGGUCAUGGGCAUGUACAUGACCAGGCAUUUUGAACUCUGGAGCAACGGAUACUCCCGCAAGCUUCCCUGGUGGCUCAGAUGGUAAUGAAUCUGCCUGCAAUACAGGAGACCCAGGUUCAAUCCUUGGGUCAGGAAGAUCCCCUGGAGAAGGGAAUGGCAAUCUACUCCAAUGUUCUUGCCUGGAGAAUUCCACAGACAGAGGAGCCUGGCAGGUGACAGUCCAUGGGGUCACAAAGAGUUGAACACAGCUGAGUGACUAACACUCAUAUAUAACCCAAACCCAUGCUAUUAACCUUUACUUUAAUAGCAUUAUACAUUUAUUAGUUAAUUUAAAUAACUUGAUGCCUGAAUGACUUUGGUUUAGUUUUGCUUCGGGUUAUUUGAUGUAGCUUCUCUUCAAUUCACUGGAUAGUAUCACAUCUCUCUAUAAUACUAAAUUGAAAGCAUUGGUAUUCUAUGCUGCCUGUUGAUCUUUCUUAUUUGUAUAAGAAAAAGGAAUGAAGUAAAAUGGUCCACAAGUCAAAAACUUUUUCUUAUAAGUGAAAAUCCUUUUGAAAAGUACUGGAAUCUAUUUUUAGUUUCAUGAUUCAUUUCAAGAGCCUUUGUUAUUUAGAAAGCAAAUGUUAGGAGUAGAGAUGAACAUCUUCUAUGUGCAGUAAAAUCCAGCCCAUUUCAGUGUGUUUAUCGAACACAUGACUCUGGCCACUUUUCUGGAGGAAGAGGGAAAUCUUUCAGUGUGUUCUGGUUUCUAUAUGAAGAGAAAUAAAAUACCAGCGGGAAUAAGCAGUGUGAAUUUUGGUAACUUUCAUGAAUAAUGCAGGCUUAUUUGUUUUUACUUUUGGUUUUGAAUGUUGCUGUUGUUGCUUUUGUUGUUUUAUAUUUUCUCCACUUCCACUUCCCAGUUCAGUUCACUCCCCAUCACAGUGUCUAUGAUGUCGAGUAUCAAAAAGUGCUUUCCAUACACAACCCAGGAGAAAGUAAUAGACUUAUAGACUGAUAUUUUG